GAUAGAAUACAAAGAUUGCGCCGAUAGGGGUGCAAAAAUUUUUCGUUCUGCGCAUCUACGUCAUAAUAUAAAAGUUGUUGUUGGCGAUCUGUCAAAUCGCAUACAAUUUCGACGAAAAAAAGUAAAUAUAGCAUAAAAUUUAGUUGAAAGUCUAAAAUAAAACAAUCUGGUGGCAAUUUAUUGAAUCGAGAAGACGGUAGUGGGUAGGGCGUUCAAAUAAAAAUUGCAUUCUGUGGCCGCCGUUGCGCUGGCAAAUGGAACGAGUAAGAUUCCCAAAUGAAAUUGAAGCCACAGCAAAUAGUGCAAAACUCCAAGGCUUGGAAACAAAUAUAGAAGCUAUACGAUGCCAGAAAGACUACAGAGAAUCGAAGAGCGCUAACCAGGAAACAGCGUAAAAGGGCCAAUUCGUUGAGCAAGGGCGUGCUCAUAGCAUGGAAAUACAAUGCCAACAUAAAUUAAACUGCCAAGGCAUAAGCAAGAAUUUUUACCUGAAACUGUGACGCCUGCCCACAGCAUCAAAUAAGGAUAUCGUUCCAAUGAAACCCAAUAUUAACGACGUGUUUUGACGACGAUGAACUCUUUGCGAACGCUCCGGGUUUUCAUCACCGGGCUUGUAAAUUGAUGGCACGGAGCCUCGUUUCAACAAUCUUCUUUUUGCAUAACCUUAGAAAUGUUUUAAACACUUUCAUUAAUAUAAACACAAUAAACGAAAUAAAUAAACAUCCUACCCAUUUCGAA